AAGACUAUACUUUCAGGGAUCAUUUCUAUAGUUCAUAACUUGAGAAAUGUGUUUCUAAAGUGUUUGGUCUCGCCAACCACGAUGAAGAGUUAAUGAUACUCUUCCCUGAGCGCGAAGCGGAUACAGACUAUGACUUACGUCAUUUGGUCUGUAUCUUUGAUGACCGUUCACUGCUUCUACACGGAGCAUUGAGGGGAAGAGUAUGAUCAGAGUGGU